GACGAACGCUGGCGGCGUGCUUAACACAUGCAAGUCGAACGGAAAGGCCCUGCUUUUGUGGGGUGCUCGAGUGGCGAACGGGUGAGUAACACGUGAGUAACCUGCCCUUGACUUUGGGAUAACUUCAGGAAACUGGGGCUAAUACCGGAUAGGGGCUCCUGCUGCAUGGUGGGGGUUGGAAAGUUUCGGCGGUUGGGGAUGGACUCGCGGCUUAUCAGCUUGUUGGUGGGGUAGUGGCUUACCAAGGCUUUGACGGGUAGCCGGCCUGAGAGGGUGACCGGCCACAUUGGGACUGAGAUACGGCCCAGACUCCUACGGGAGGCAGCAGUGGGGAAUAUUGCACAAUGGGCGGAAGCCUGAUGCAGCAACGCCGCGUGCGGGAUGACGGCCUUCGGGUUGUAAACCGCUUUCGCCUGUGACGAAGCGUGGGUGACGGUAAUGGGUAAAGAAGCACCGGCUAACUACGUG
rnacentral:rRNA from 1 species